rnacentral:rRNA from 1 species
ACACAUUUUAGAGCCUAAUUCAUUUUAAUUAAAAAUUAAAAUUACAUUCAAAUCCUAAUUAAGAAUAUUAAUAUUAAAAUUCAUCCUAAAAUAAAUUUAUUGUAAUCCAUCUCUACUUUUAAAAGCUGCACCUUGAUCUGAUUUUCUAUAUUAUAAAAUACAAUAAUUAUAUAUUUCAAAAAAUAAUUUUUAACGACGAUAUACAAGCAAAAUCAAAAGUUAUUUAAAUCGUGAAUUAUCGAUUACAGGACAGAUUCCCCUGAUUGGAAUAAAAAACCGCCAAAUUUAUUGACUUUAAAGACCAUAACUUAUAUUAAUCAAGUUUAAAUUUUCUAUGUCUAGAAUAAUGGGGUCUCUAAUCCCAGUUUAAAACCUAGAUCUCUUAACAUCAUAAACAAUUUGUUAACUAAAUAAAAAAUAAGAUUCCACCCAAUAUUUCAUUAAAAUAAAAAUUGAUUUUUUAUUAAUUAAUUAUAACCAAACAAAAAUAAUUGAACUUUUUGUAUAACCGCA